rnacentral:rRNA from 1 species
CCCUUAGAUGUUCUGGGCCGCACGCGCGCUACACUGAUGCAUUCAACGAGUCCAACCUUGACCGAGAGGUCCGGGUAAUCUUUGAAACUGCAUCGUGAUGGGGCUAGAUUAUUGCAAUUAUUAAUCUUCAACGAGGAAUGCCUAGUAAGCGUGAUUCAUCAAAUCGCGUUGAUUACGUCCCUGCCCUUUGUACACACCGCCCGUCGCUCCUACCGAUUGAGUGUGUUGGUGAGGAGUUUGGAUUGACCUCGGAAGGUGGUUCGCCACCGUCCGUAGCUGAGAAGUUCUCCAAACCGCCCCACUUAGAGGAAGGAGAAGUCGUAACA